UACAGAGACCUCAAGCGUUAUCCGGAAUCAUUGGGCGUAAAGCGUGCCGAUAGGUGGUUUGGUUAGUCUUGGGUGAAAUCCCGAAGCUCAACUUCGGGUUUGCUUAAGAUACUGCCAGACUAGAGGGGCAAAGAGGAGACUGGAACGAACGGUGUAGUAGUGAAAUGCGUUGAUAUCGUUCGGAACACCGAAAGCGAAGGCAGGUCUCUGGGUGCCUCCUGACACUGCUAGGACGAGAGCGUGGGUAGCGAAUGGG
rnacentral:rRNA from 1 species